AUUGAACGCUAGCGGGAUGCUUUACACAUGCAAGUCGAACGAGUGGCGGACGGGUGAGUAAUAUAUCGGAACGUGCCUAAUAGCGGGGGAUAACUACUCGAAAGCGUGGCUAAUACCGCAUACUAUCGGAUCGGCCGAUAGCGGUUUAGCUAGUUGGUGGGGUAAAGGCUCACCAAGGCAACGAUCCGUAGCAGGUUUGAGAGGACGACCAGCCACACUGGGACUGAGACACGGUCCAGACUCCGAGGUGAGGCAGUAGUGGGGAAUUUUGGACAAUGGGCGAAACCCUGAUGCAGCCAUGCCGCGUGUAUGAGAAGGCUUUCGGGUUGUAAAGUCCUUUUGGCAGAGAAGCGGUAUCUGCAGAAUAAGCACCGGCUAACUACGUGCCAGCAGCCGCGGUAAUAC
rnacentral:rRNA from 1 species